AACGAACGCUGGCGGCAUGCCUAACACAUGCAAGUCGAACGAGACCUUCGGGUCUAGUGGCGCACGGGUGCGUAACGCGUGGGAAUCUGCCCUUGGGUUCGGAAUAACAGUUGGAAACGACUGCUAAUACCGGAUGAUGACGUAAGUCCAAAGAUUUAUCGCCCAGGGAUGAGCCCGCGUAGGAUUAGCUAGUUGGUUGGGUAAAGGCCUACCAAGGCGACGAUCCUUAGCUGGUCUGAGAGGAUGAUCAGCCACACUGGGACUGAGACACGGCCCAGACUCCUACGGGAGGCAGCAGUGGGGAAUAUUGGACAAUGGGCGAAAGCCUGAUCCAGCAAUGCCGCGUGAGUGAUGAAGGCCUUAGGGUUGUAAAGCUCUUUUACCCGGGAUGAUAAUGACAGUACCGGGAGAAUAAGCCCCGGCUAACUCCGUG
rnacentral:rRNA from 1 species